rnacentral:rRNA from 1 species
AUACGGAGGGUGCAAGCGUUAAUCGGAAUUACUGGGCGUAAAGCGCACGCAGGCGGUUUGUUAAGUCAGAUGUGAAAUCCCCGGGCUCAACCUGGGAACUGCAUCUGAUACUGGCAAGCUUGAGUCUCGUAGAGGGGGGUAGAAUUCCAGGUGUAGCGGUGAAAUGCGUAGAGAUCUGGAGGAAUACCGGUGGCGAAGGCGGCCCCCUGGACGAAGACUGACGCUCAGGUGCGAAAGCGUGGGGAGCAAACAGGAUUAGAUACCCUGGUAGUCAAGGGCGAAUUCGC